UACGUAGGGUGCGAGCGUUAAUCGGAAUUACUGGGCGUAAAGCGUGCGCAGGCGGUUCGUUGUGUCGGUGGUGAAAUCCCCGGGCUUAACCUGGGAAUGGCAUUUGGGACUGCAAGGCUUGAGUGCGGCAGAGGAGACUAGAAUUCCUGGUGUAGCAGUGAAAUGCGUAGAUAUCAGGAGGAAUACCGAUGGCGAAGGCAGGUCUCUGGGCUGACACUGACGCUCAUGCACGAAAGCGUGGGGAGCAAACAGG
rnacentral:rRNA from 1 species